CUGCACCGAGUCUGAAAAAGAAAUGCUCAAGUAAAGCCAUGUUCCUAAGAAAAAAGCAGCAGAGGCUUGGAGAGGGUUGCACCCAGCACCUCCUGAGGUGGAAGAGGCCACGAGCUCGCUCGGGGUUCAGCAGAUAUUCUUAUCCAGAUGUGAAUACAUGGGAUUCAUUAUUUUCAAUCAAUAAUAAUUAACCUCAAGUAUAAAUAAUUUGUAUUGGAUUCCACCUUGGGUCAGUUGGACGCUUUGCUCUACAUCAUCCCCAUUCUCAACAUCAGCUUUAAAGAAUCUUCACUCUCUGGGAUAUUGUUUUCCACCAUCUGAAAGAGAAGGAAGCAAAGUGGUGUUCACACCAAUGAUUUAAUGUUCCAGCCCAGAAUGAUCUGUACUACUACCAACAACAUAGGGUCAGCUCCAGUUACAUGACCCUACCCAGUGCAAGGGAGAAUGUGUUCAAUUUCCCAAGAUCAUUCUUGGCCUUGGUAAUUCCCUAAAAGGAUGCACAGAGCUCAGCAUAAAGUUGUAUUCAUGGCUAAUAUUUAUUAUAGUGAAAGGAUACAAAGUAAAAUCAUCAAAAUGAAAGGAUGCAUGGGGUGCAGUGCAGCACAAGCUUCCAAGAGUCCUUCCUCCGUGUAGACACACUUAAUUCCCCAAACCCUGAGUUGCAAUGACACAUGUGAACUAUUCUACCAGGAAAGUUAAUGAGGGACUCAGUGUUCAGAGUUUUUGUUCGAGUGGUCACACAGGUACCCAUUCCUUAAAGUUCCAGACUCAGAAAGGAAAAGGAAAGCUUCAGCAUAACAUCAUUUGGUUUACUUAAAAGCCUAAACAGCAAAUCAUCCUUAUCUGUUAAUUGCUGGUUAGGAACACCUGAGAGCCAAGUUGAUAGAUACUAGCCCAGGUCCAACCUUGUAAGCAAUCCACUGUAAGGAUAGCAGUCUCAGGUGUGCUGGGUUUAUUUUUCUCGGUGCAGGCAGUAAGAGAUUUUAAUCUCCACUGUACCCGAAUAACGAGAGACUGAAUUCAGAGAAGCAUUAAAAUCUUUGUAUCUUCUUUGCAGGUAUUAAUUGUAGCUCUAGGAAGAAUUUAAGUAUAACCAUAUGAAUUUAUAGUGUUUACAUUUCUUUGAAUAGUGUUUUAGAAAAAUAUAGUGAAAAUUUUCAAGGAAAAACAAAAAUAUUUGGCAGAAAAAAAUUUUAAAGCAAGAUUUAGAUAAGUUAAUCAAGAUGUGAGUUCACAGAGGAAAUUUAACUUUAAUAUUUAAUACUGUACAAGUAAACAAAAGGGAAGAAGAAGAUAGGAAAUAUCUAAUGUGUUAAAAAAUCUGUAUCACUAUUUUCAUAUGCAUAUGCAUAGAAUAUAUACAUAUAUUUACUUGCACAUACAUAGAAUAUUUUAAGAAGGAUAGAUAUAAUACUGGAAACAAAUCUUGUGAAAGGAAGAAAGGGCUGGGAUAUGUAGCGAUAGAGAAAUUACUUGUCAAUAUAUACAGUUUAUUCUGUUUAAUUUUUUAUCCUCCUCAUAUAUUAAUUUUCAAAUAAAAUUGUUUUCUUAAGCUUACUGGGAAGGGUAAAUGUGAAAAUUCCUUCUGUAUUUUCAUAAAACCCUAGGGAAAGCUUUUUAAUACUAGCUGGUAUUGCUGCAAGAAUAGAUGAAUAAAGAGAACUCAUCAGCAAACCCCUAAACAGACAAUAUUAAAUACAUAAAUUAAGGAAAGACAAUACAUAACAUAUGAAUUCAAAUUGUGGUAUAUGAGGAUGUUAAUAGAAGUUUGUAUUUUCCUU